UACGGAGGGGGCAAGCGUUAUUCGGAAUUAUUGGGCGUAAAGGGCGCGUAGGCGGCUAGAUGUGUCAAAGGUGAAAUCCCUCGGCUCAACUGAGGUACUGCCUUUGAAACUGUCUGGCUUGAGGCCGGGAGAGGGUAGCGGAAUUCCCAGUGUAGCGGUGAAAUGCGUAGAGAUGUGGAGGAACACCGAUGGCGAAGGCAGCCCCCUGGGCUAACACUGACGCUCAGGCACGAAAGCGUGGGGAGCAAACAGG
rnacentral:rRNA from 1 species